CACGUAGGGCGCAAGCGUUGUCCGGAAUUAUUGGGCGUAAAGAGCUCGUAGGCGGUCUGUUACGUCUGCUGUGAAAACCCUGGGCUUAACCCUGGGCUUGCAGUGGAUACGGGCAGACUAGAGGCAGGUAGGGGAGAAUGGAAUUCCCGGUGUAGCGGUGAAAUGCGCAGAUAUCGGGAGGAACACCGGUGGCGAAGGCGGUUCUCUGGGCCUGACCUGACGCUGAGGAGCGAAAGCGUGGGGAGCGAACAGG
rnacentral:rRNA from 1 species